GGGCACAAACAGACUGAAAAGUGAGCGAUACCUAAAGCUAAAGCGGCGCAUGCUGCCAACGGCAGACGACGAUACGAAGUUGCCUGCUGAAGCUUUAGUGCCGACGAGGUCAGAGCGCACGAAGGCACACUACAAUAAAGAAAUGGGCAUUGAAAAGCUUGGCCAGUAGUCACUUAGUGUGUCGCUUUGCUAGAGCUUACAGGCGAAGUUCUCAGUUGCUGCGGCGCAUCCCGAAGGUCAGUGGGAAGCAACUGUGUGCAUAAAGAAGAGAAAUUCAGCGCUGCAGCUAAGUGCGUCAGUGGGAAGAGAGACUUCAUUAAAGCAAUUACAUACUUCCAAUGCAGCGAAUUAUCGUGCUUUGCUGUAAGAGCUUUCACACGAAGUUCACUGUCGCUGAAGCUGUCUUGCUACUAAAGAGGGAAUGCUUAUGCAUUAAGAAGUAUGCGCAUACAUAUGUAAUUGCUUAGCACAGGGUGUUGAAUGCGAAGCAAAUUAGCUUUUACCAAUUUCUGGAGUGUGCGAGCGAAGCUCUCUGCUAAGUAAAGAAUGUAUGGGUGUACAGAGCACAGCCAAUGAGCAGUGACGCAGCUAGAGCUUUCAGGCUAAGUUCAUCCUUAUACUGCCAAGCACUGUAAUGCAUGCCAGAUGCUCCCAUUUGUUUGACCAAAAAAAAAAAAUCUUCACCCAAUAAAGAAUUUAAAACAUGUUAUUACCAAUGUACUCUCGCCUUUUUAUCGCCCAAGGGGCUCGAUCAGCACAAACAAGAAAUGCUGCGCCGGACAUUAGAAAGUAAAGUAAAACGCUCGAAGAUGUUCAAUGGAAUUGCUUUAAUGGCUGUCCAUACAACUAUAAAUGUAUGUAUGUGCGUGUGUGUGUGUGUCCGUAGGCUAGUGUUCGUUGCUGCCCACCUGUGUGAAAUUGGCCAAAAGUGAGCGUUUUACUUGCCCAAUUUGUGUUGUCUAAGUUGUCAGACAGGAAGAAGACGACGAUGAUGAAGAAGAAGAAGACGAUCAUAGCAGAGGCUCCAGUUAAUGUGAAAGUGAGGCGCACAGAGAAUACAAAUAUACUGCGAAUGUAGAAUGACAGUGAAAAUGGAAACUGGAAAGAUGGAAAAUGCAACGUGCUUCAGUUCCUAUGGAAAAUCGGAAAAUCUAGACGAGACAAACGACUUGUUGUAGCCAAAAGGCUAGGCUAACUGAUAAGCUGUAAAGCUUGUUUGCUUUAACAUAAACUAAGAAAAUACGAGUCUUGAAAGAAGUACGAAUUUUAUAAGCAUAACCUUAGGUUAAAUCUGUAUAGUUUUAUAAGUAGUGCUAAUAUAAAUUAAAGGGAGAGAUCGGAGGGCAACGAGUCGUAUUAUAAAGCGAAUGAGUUUAAGUGUAUAUAAAUAUAUUUCUUAGGAGGGCCAGAAGCUGACAAGUCUCCUAGCUGGGAAAAAUUACAAGUAAGAGAGGUAAGACUUAAUAUUGUCAGAAACGGAAAACUGAAUAGUCGAUUAAGUACAAGUAUAAUUAUAAGUCUCUUUAGAGCAAGACUUAACUUCGCCCACACACAAACUUUGACAAAUCUCUUGACACUCUCAUGCUCCAUGACAUGACUGUAAAGUUUUUGUUAUCAUAAUUAGUGUUAGUCAUUUUAAGCAGUAUAGCAUUUAUAAUAUAAUUAGCUCGAGGUUUUCAGAUAAAACAUGCCAGUUUGUUUCUUAUCAUUGAAUUAACGCCUAGCUGCGUACUUCCUCUCCGAGGAAUCCUCUGUAUUUAUUGCAUUUUAAAUCCCAAUCAAAGUCAUUUGUUUAUGCUUAAUUGUAUAUAUAUUCUUUAUUUUUUAUCCGCUUUACACAUAUACUCUUCUUUUUUAACUGUUAGUAAAUUUUAAAUGUUAACAUGCUACUUACUAUACUUUAGACUUUUAGCAAGUUUUAUCGCUGGUGCAAAGUAGGGGUUCAUUUUUAUUUAUUUUUCUUCUUAUUUUUUUUUUUUUUUUUUAGAUUA